UGUUAAAAAUUUCAUCAAUUUGUACGAUUAAAAACCAGCGUGAAUAAUGAAAAAACUAAACAGUGACAUGUGGCAUGUCAUGAUACCUCAUGCCGACAUAUAAAGACCAAUUUUUAAUAGUAGAAUUGAAUAGAAUUUUUAACA
rfam:Gossypium hirsutum cultivar TM-1 chromosome 13, whole genome shotgun sequence